rnacentral:snoRNA from 1 species
AGACCGUGAUGUGGGCAUUUCCUUAAUAGCUCCUUGAAUCUUUCCCAAGUGUCAUACAAUGAUUCCCCGUCUUCUUGAGAGUUGGUGUUAAUCUCGGUCAUGAGUUU